rnacentral:rRNA from 1 species
GACGAACGCUGGCGGCGUGCCUAAUACAUGCAAGUCGAGCGGAUCGAUGGGAGCUUGCUCCCUGAGAUCAGCGGCGGACGGGUGAGUAACACGUGGGUAACCUGCCUGUAAGACUGGGAUAACUCCGGGAAACCGGGGCUAAUACCGGAUAACUCAGUUCCUCGCAUGAGGAACGGUUGAAAGGUGGCUUUUCGCUACCACUUACAGAUGGACCCGCGGCGCAUUAGCUAGUUGGUGAGGUAACGGCUCACCAAGGCGACGAUGCGUAGCCGACCUGGGAGGGUGAUCGGCCACACGGGGACUGAGACACGGCCCAGACUCCUACGGGAGGCAGCAGUAGGGAAUCUUCCGCAAUGGACGAAAGUCUGACGGAGCAACGCCGCGUGAGUGAAGAAGGUUUUCGGAUCGUAAAACUCUGUUGUUAGGGAAGAACAAGUGCCGUUCGAAUAGGGCGGCACCUUGACGGUACCUAACCAGAAAGCCACGGCUAACUACGUGCCAGCAGCCGCCGUAAGAC